rnacentral:rRNA from 1 species
UACCAGCACCCCGAGUGGUCGGGACGAUUAUUGGGCCUAAAGCAUCCGUAGCCGGUCCUACAAGUCUUCCGUUAAAUCCACCUGCUUAACAGAUGGGCUGCGGAAGAUACUAUAGGGCUAGGAGGCGGGAGAGGCAAGCGGUACUCAGUGGGUAGGGGUAAAAUCCUCUGAUCCAUUGAAGACCACCAGUGGCGAAGGCGGCUUGCCAGAACGCGCUCGACGGUGAGGGAUGAAAGCUGGGGGAGCAAACCGG